rnacentral:snRNA from 1 species
AGAUGUGAGGAUCAUCUGCCUGUGACAUGUCGUACCACUGAUCACCAAGGUGGGUGUGACUUACCUAGUCAGUCGAAUAGAGUCUCCUUCCUCCCUCACCACCCCACAUACAUCCCUCCCAAAGCGGGGCAUGCAGUCAAAGAGGGCGGCCCUCUGCAAUGCAGGAGGACUACUUUCAUGUUAAGGGUACAGAAAUGGCUGCACUUGUUUGACCUUCCAAGCCAACAGAAAUGAGAAGCUGAACCACAUGGUUAACACAGAGGCCAUACUGGCUUUAAGCUUCAGCAAAGGC